rnacentral:rRNA from 1 species
UACGGAGGGUGCAGGCGUUAUCCGGAUUCACUGGGUUUAAAGGGUGCGUAGGAGGGCAGGUAAGUCAGUGGUGAAAUCCCCGAGCUUAACUUGGGAACUGCCGUUGAUACUAUCUGUCUUGAAUGUUGUGGAGGUGAGCGGAAUAUGUCAUGUAGCGGUGAAAUGCUUAGAUAUGACAUAGAACACCAAUUGCGAAGGCAGCUCGCUACACAAUUAUUGACUCUGAGGCACGAAAGCGUGGGGAUCAAACAGG